AGCGAACGCUGGCGGCAGGCUUAACACAUGCAAGUCGAGCGGGCCCUUCGGGGUCAGCGGCGGACGGGUGAGUAACGCGUGGGAACGUGCCUUCUGGUCUGGAAUAACCCUGGGAAACUAGGGCUAAUACCGGAUACGCCCUUUUGGGGAAAGGUUUACUGCCGGAAGAUCGGCCCGCGUCUGAUUAGCUAGUUGGUGGGGUAACGGCCUACCAAGGCGACGAUCAGUAGCUGGUCUGAGAGGAUGAUCAGCCCCACUGGGACUGAGACACGGCCCAGACUCCUACGGGAGGUAGCAGUGGGGAAUAUUGGACAAUGGGCGCAAGCCUGAUCCAGCCAUGCCGCGUGAGUGAUGAAGGCCUUAGGGUUGUAAAGCUCUUUUAUCCGGGACGAUAAUGACGGUACCGGAGGAAUAAGCCCCGGCUAACUUCGUG
rnacentral:rRNA from 1 species